UCCUACGGGGGGCAGCAGUGGGGAAUAUUGCACAAUGGGGGAAACCCUGAUGCAGCAACGCCGCGUGAGUGAAGAAGUAUUUCGGUAUGUAAAGCUCUAUCCGCAGGGAAGAAGAUGACGGUACCUGAUUAAGAAGCCCCGGCUAACUACGUGCCAGCAGCCGCGGUAAUACGUAGGGGGCAAGCGUUAUACGGAUUUACUGAGUGUAAAGGGAGCGUAUUUGGCGUGCAAAGUCAGGAGGGAAAACCCAGGGCCCAACCC
rnacentral:rRNA from 1 species